GUGGAUUAGUGGCGAACGGGUGAGUAACACGUGGGCAAUCUGCCCUGCACUCUGGGACAAGCCCUGGAAACGGGGUCUAAUACCGGAUGAUACUUUUCCCUGCAUGGGGAAGGGUUGAAAGCUCCGGCGGUGCAGGAUGAGCCCGCGGCCUAUCAGCUUGUUGGUGGGGUGAUGGCCUACCAAGGCGACGACGGGUAGCCGGCCUGAGAGGGCGACCGGCCACACUGGGACUGAGACACGGCCCAGACUCCUACGGGAGGCAGCAGUGGGGAAUAUUGCACAAUGGGCGAAAGCCUGAUGCAGCGACGCCGCGUGAGGGAUGACGGCCUUCGGGUUGUAAACCUCUUUCAGCAGGGAAGAAGCGAAAGUGACGGUACCUGCAGAAGAAGCGCCGGCUAACUACGUGCCAGCAGCCGCGGUAAUACGUAGGGCGCAAGCGUUGUCCGGAAUUAUUGGGCGUAAAGAGCUCGUAGGCGGUUUGUCACGUCGGUUGUGAAAGCCCGGGGCUUAACUCCGGGUCUGCAGUCGAUACGGGCAGACUAGAGUGUGGUAGGGGAGAUCGGAAUUCCUGGUGUAGCGGUGAAAUGCGCAGAUAUCAGGAGGAACACCGGUGGCGAAGGCGGAUCUCUGGGCCAUUACUGACGCUGAGGAGCGAAAGCGUGGGGAGCGAACAGGAUUAGAUACCCUGGUAGUCCACGCCGUAAACGUUGGGGAACUAGGUGUUGGCGACAUUCCACGUCGUCCGGUGC
rnacentral:rRNA from 2 species